CAAUAGCGUAUAUUAAAGUUGUUGCAGUUAAAAAGCUCGUAGUUGGAUUUCUGGUGGGAGCGAUCGGUCUGGCGCUUAGCGCGAGUACUUGCAUCGUCUCCGGCCAUCCUUGGGGAGAGUCUGUCUGGCAUUAAGUUGUCGGGCAGAGGAUCCUCAUCGUUUACUGUGAAAAAAUUAGAGUGUUCAAAGCAGGCUUAUGCCGUUGAAUAUAUUAGCAUGGAAUAAUAAGAUAGGACUUUGGUACUAUUUUGUUGGUUUGCGCACCAAAGUAAUGAUUAAUAGGGACAGUUGGGGGUAUUCGUAUUCCAUUGUCAGAGGUGAAAUUCUUGGAUUUUUGGAAGACGAACUACUGCGAAAGCAUUUACCAAGGAUGUUUUCAUUAA
rnacentral:rRNA from 1 species